ensembl:lncRNA
GGGAGGCUGAGACGGUGCGGCUGAGGGGGCCGCGGGGGGCACUGCGGUGCGAGGAGCCGCGCUCGUGAGCUGCAAAAUGGAGCAGAGAAGGCACAACGACCCCAGAUUCAGAAGAUCUGCUGAAGCCCCGACCUACUGAAGCUUCCUACAGCUCCACUUCUCCUCCCCCAUCUUAAAAUGAGGGGAAUAACCAGCGCCUACCUUGCAGGUUGCUUUCUUCUGUCAGUGACACAACACUAUUUCCUUGGUUAGCGUUGUUCCAAACAGCCAGUAAAAUACCCUUCCCAGCACAGGCUUCCCCAAUACACUACGGUUCCAGAAUGAGUGACAGAGUUAAACAGCUUGCAGUCUAGAAAACCACUCAUGACAAGAGAUUCAGAACAUAAACUGCACCCCUGUAUUUCUCAGAUGAAAUAAAAAUCAGCUUGCAAUUAAAACUAAAAUGGGACAAGAGGUGUGAUACAAACCAGAGUGUUUUGGUGCUACCUGUCUUGGAUCCCUCUCGGUCACUGCAUUCAGCGACAUUCAUGGACAGCGUUUCAAGGAG